rnacentral:piRNA from 1 species
UGACCAACCAGAAACAUCGACGGGUGAGA